GAGGGAGGAGCUGUGAACUGUCAUGGUUGCAUCCCACCAGACCACCGCGUGUUAAACGUUGCUGCCUUCAGAUUAAUAAACCAGUUUCCUACUUAAAAUGAAGAGAGGAUUCAGAAGUGUUUAGCAUGAAGUGA
rnacentral:lncRNA from 1 species